ensembl:misc_RNA Metazoa_SRP Metazoan signal recognition particle RNA
GCCGGACAUGGUGGCAUGUGCUGGUAGUUCCAGCUACUCAGGAGGCUGAGGCAGGGUGGAUCCCUUGGGUCCAGGGUUGUAGUGCACUACGCUCAUCAUGUGUCCUCACUAAGUUCGGCAUCAAUAUGGUGACCUCCUGGAAGCAGGGGACUACUGGAUUGCAUAAGGAAGCAUGAACUUGCCCAGGUCAGAAAUGAAGCAGGUCUAAAGUCCCAUGCUGAUCAGUAGUGGGAUGGUGUCUGGGAAUAACCACUGCACUCCAAACUGGGGCAACAUAGUGAUACCCUGU